rnacentral:rRNA from 1 species
CGGCAAAAGCUCAAAUUUGAAAUCUGGUACCUUCGGUGCCCGAGUUGUAAUUUGGAGAGGGCAACUUUGGGGCCGUUCCUUGUCUAUGUUCCUUGGAACAGGACGUCAUAGAGGGUGAGAAUCCCGUGUGGCGAGGAGUGCGGUUCUUUGUAAAGUGCCUUCGAAGAGUCGAGUUGUUUGGGAAUGCAGCUCUAAGUGGGUGGUAAAUUCCAUCUAAAGCUAAAUAUUGGCGAGAGACCGAUAGCGAACAAGUACAGUGAUGGAAAGAUGAAAAGAACUUUGAAAAGAGAGUGAAAAAGUACGUGAAAUUGUUGAAAGGGAAGGGCAUUUGAUCAGACAUGGUGUUUUGUGCCCUCUGCUCCUUGUGGGUAGGGGAAUCUCGCAUUUCACUGGGCCAGCAUCAGUUUUGGUGGCAGGAUAAAUCCAUAGGAAUGUAGCUUGCCUCGGUAAGUAUUAUAGCCUGUGGGAAUACUGCCAGCUGGGACUGAGGACUGCGACGUAAGUCAAGGAUGCUGGCAUAAUGGUUAUA